rnacentral:misc_RNA from 1 species
GAAAUGCGAUAAGUAGUGUGAAUUGCAGAAUUCAGUGAAUCAUCGAAUCUUUGAACGCACAUUGCGCCCCUCGGUAUUCCGUGGGGCAUGCCUGUUCGAGCGUCAUUUCAACCCUCAGGGUCCCCGUUUCGGCGGGGAACCUGGUGUUGGGGAUCGGCCCGCCCCGCGCGGCGCCGUCCCCCAAAUCUAGUGGCGGUCUCGCUGCAGCCUCCCCUGCGUAGUAGUUUACAACCUCGCACCGGAGCGCGGCGCGGCCACGCCGUAAAACCCCCGACUUUCUGAACGUUGACCUCGGAUCAGGUAGGAAUACCCGCUGAACUUAAGC